UUUAAUCCCUAAUCAUAGUCUAAAAAAACCUAACUCUUUCUCUUGCUUCCCAUUGUUAUUGUCGCUUCUACUGUUUUAUUUAUCUCUGGUUGUUUGUUCAAGACAAUCUUCACAAUCAUGAACAUAUAUCCAUGUGGUUCAAGAGAAUCUUCACGAUUGAUGGUUAAUUAAGAUGCUUCAAGCGAGAUCUUGUUCAACUUAUGAAUUGGGAUCACUGGGAAUUUGAUUUGAAUACCCAUUGAUGAUAUGGAUCUAUAUUUACUUCGUAUCAUAUGACUAAGAUUUACAACUAUCAAAGCAAGCGCGAAAAGAAGAAGUUAGACAAUUGAAUGAAGAAAUUUUUUUUUUGUUGAAUUUAUUUCGCUUGUUAUGUUUUUGUACAAUACCUCUAUUAAUUUUUUUCGUGAUUUUCAUUCUAAAUUUAUUGUAAUAUUGGUUUAAUUUUUUAUAUAUUCAUUUUUAAAUUUUAAAGUUCGAAAUCAAUAUAACUGUAUUUCCUUAUUAAUAUUUUCCUUAAUAAUGCAGCA